rnacentral:rRNA from 1 species
AGAGUUUGAUCAUGGCUCAGAUUGAACGCUGGCGGCAUGCUUUACACAUGCAAGUCGAACGGUAACAGGCCGCAAGGUGCUGACGAGUGGCGAACGGGUGAGUAAUGCAUCGGAACGUGCCCGGUCGUGGGGGAUAACGCAGCGAAAGCUGCGCUAAUACCGCAUGCGAUCUGAGGAUGAAAGCGGGGGACCGUAAGGCCUCGCGCGAUUGGAGCGGCCGAUAUCAGAUUAGGUAGUUGGUAGGGUAAAGGCCUACCAAGCCAACGAUCUGUAGCUGGUCUGAGAGGACGACCAGCCACACUGGAACUGAGACACGGUCCAGACUCCUACGGGAGGCAGCAGUGGGGAAUUUUGGACAAUGGGCGAAAGCCUGAUCCAGCCAUUCCGCGUGCAGGAUGAAGGCCCUCGGGUUGUAAACUGCUUUUGUACAGAACGAAAAGGUCUCUAUUAAUACUAGGGGCUCAUGACGGUACUGUAAGAAUAAGCACCGGCUAACUACGUGCCAGCAGCCGCGGUAAUACGUAGGGUGCAAGCGUUAAUCGGAAUUACUGGGCGUAAAGCGUGCGCAGGCGGUUAUAUAAGUCAGAUGUGAAAGCCCCGGGCUCAACCUGGGAACUGCAUUUGAUACUGGCAGGCUAGAGUGCGGUAGAGGGUGGUGGAAUUCCCGGUGUAGCGGUGAAAUGCGUAGAGAUCGGGAGGAACAUCCGUGGCGAAGGCGGCCACCUGGACCAGCACUGACGCUGAGGCACGAAAGCGUGGGGAGCAAACAGGAUUAGAUACCCUGGUAGUCCACGCCCUAAACGAUGCGAACUGGACGUUGGUCUCACUUUGGAGAUCAGUGUCGAAGCUAACGCGUUAAGUUCGCCGCCUGGGGAGUACGGUCGCAAGACUGAAACUCAAAGGAAUUGACGGGGGCCCGCACAAGCGGUGGAGUAUGUGGUUUAAUUCGAUGCAACGCGCAGAACCUUACCUGGCCUUGACAUGUCCGGAACCCUGCAGAGAUGC